rnacentral:lncRNA from 12 species
AUGGAUUUUGGGAUGGAUUUUGGGAUGGAUUUUGGGAUGGAUUUUGGGAUGGAUUUUGGGAUGGAUUUUGGGAUGGAUCCCGGGGGGAUUUUGGGAUGGAUUUUGGGAUGGAUUUUGGGAUGGAUUUUGGGAUGGAUUUUGGGAUGGAUUUUGGGAUGGAUUUUGGGAUGGAUCCCGGGGGGAUUUUGGGAUGGAUUUUGGGAUGGAUUUUGGGAUGGAUUUUGGGAUGGAUUUUGGGAUGGAUUUUGGGAUGGAUUUUGGGAUGGAUCCCGGGGGGAUUUUGGGAUGGAUUUUGGGAUGGAUUUUGGGAUGGAUUUUGGGAUGGAUUUUGGGAUGGAUUUUGGGAUGGAUUUUGGGAUGGAUCCCGGGGGGAUUUUGGGAUGGAUUUUGGGAUGGAUUUUGGGUGGGUCCCGGGGUGGGAGGGGUCGCACCGGGCAGGGACCCCGGGGUGCUCGGGGCACGGGGAGGUCACAGCCUUGGGGACACCGCCAGGAGCUCGGUGACAGCUCGGGGGACAUUCCCAAGAGCUGUGGCCGCUCAGGUGACAUUUCCAGGAGCCUGGUGGCCGCUCAGGUGACAUUUCCAGGAGCCUGGUGGCCGCUCAGGUGACAUUCCCCAGGCCAAUGGCGACUCAGGGGACAUCGCUGAGAGCUCGGUGGCCACUCAGGGGACACUCCCCGGGCUGGUGGCAGCCCAGGUGACAUUUCCAGGAGCCUGGUGGCCACUCAGGUGACAUCCCGGGGACCUUGGUGGCCCCUCAGGUGACAUCCCGGGGACCUUGGUGGCCGCUCAGGUGACAUCACCAGGAGCCUGGUGGCGCCUCAGGUGACAUCGCUGGGAGCUUGGUGGCCGCUCAGGUGACAUCCCGGGGAGCUUGGUGGCCGCUCAGGUGACAUUCUCCAGCCCGGUGGCCCCUCAGGUGACACCCCCCCAGCCCAGGGCCACCCUCCAGCUCACCCCAAAAAAGCCCUGGGGGAGCUCUGGGGAGCGGUGUCCCCUGGCGGGGGAGGCGCUGGGGACACUUGGGGACAUUUCUGAGCACAGUGGAGCCCUCCCCAUUUUAGGGGAAAAAUUGGGGGAUUUUGGGGGAGUGCAGGAGGAAGAGGAGCCCUCCCCAUUUUAGGGGAAAUUUUGGGGAUUUUUGGGGGUGUUGGGAUGGGCAGGAGGAAGAGGAUCCCUCCCCAUUUUAGGGGAAAUUUUGGGGAUUUUUGGGGGUGUUGGGAUGGGCAGGAGGAAGAGGAGCCCUCCUCGUUCUGGGGGGAAAUUUUGGGGGGCGCAGGCCCCCCCCCCCCCCCCCCCCCCCCCCCCCCCCCCCCCCCCCCCCCCCCCCCCCCCCCCCCCCCCC